UCCAAGGCCUUGUCCCCUGCCUUCUUGUAGCUGGGCCAGGAGCCGACUGUGGCUUUGACAUCAGGCAGACAGAGCUGCCGGCCAUCCUGUGUCUGCCGUUUCCUAGCUUGGGGGCCUUGGGAGAGUUCGCACCUGUCCCUAAGCCUUGCAUUCUCGCUUGUACCAUGAGAAUAUAAAGCCCCCUACUUCAUAAGGGGGUCAGGAAGAUAACAGGAGAUGACCCAGUGACAAGCAUGUGGCGGGCCCUGGGCUGGGCAGCGACCUGGGAUUCCAAUCUGAAGGGCCAUCCCCAGCCUUGAGGAGGUCACACGGGCAUAAACAGGCAAUUGCAGUCAUGUGGUCAGUGUUGUGCAGGAAAGACUUCUUUAGCUUUCGGGUGGAGAACAAGCCAGAGGAUCGAAAGGACGAGUGGAAGUGGGGGACGAUGGCUGACAACUUCGGGGUUCACACACUGGAUGAGAAUGGCCGGUUGGCGAACGAUGAUGAUGGAGGCAGAAGAGGUGGACAGAUUUGACAUUUCUUUCGGAGGUAGAGCCGGAUCGUGCUGGAAUCGUGUUUGGUGAUGGAAGAUGGUCCCCACAUUUCUGGAACGUCUCCCCUCAUCUACAGCCCCAAUGACCCUCCUUCCCUUGCCUUCAGACAUAGCAGUGAUUCAAGACAGCGACCACCCAGGGCCCUGGGGACAAACCCGUGUUCCUGGGUAUUCGAGGUGAGCACAGAAUCCUGGUGGACCCUUUGGACGGUGUUACUUGGUCCCCGUCAAGCAGUGCGUGGAGGGGUUAAAUGGGAUGACCUUUGAUAACCCUAUUUCCUUCCUUAUCAUUGAAGUUAGACAAAAAAGUGAAAAGACUGAUGGUGUCCUGUGUCGUUGGCAAGGACGUGGAGAACGAGAGAGCCUGAAUACCAUUAAGUGGGAAAAACCACCAGGCAAAUCUCAUUUUUGGAGGGUAC